rnacentral:rRNA from 1 species
GCAAGUCGAACGAGAACGGGAGCUUCGGCUCCUAAGUACAGUGGCGCACGGGUGAGUAACGCGUAAGUAAUCUGCCUUCAAGUCUGGGAUAACCUCGCGAAAGCGAAGCUAAUACCGGAUAAGCUCACGAUAGGGUAAUCUAUCGCGAGAAAAGAUAGCCUCUUCUUGAAAGCUUUCACUUGAAGAUGAGCUUGCGUGUUAUUAGCUUGUUGGUGGGGUAAAGGCCUACCAAGGCUACGAUGGCUAACUGGUCUGAGAGGACGAUC